GACGAACCGUCCAAACGUUAUUCGGAAUUACUGGGCUUAAAGGGUGCGUAGGCGGCGCGGCAAGUUGGGUGUGAAAUCCCUCGGCUCAACCGAGGAACUGCGCCCAAAACUACCGUGCUCGAGGGAGAUAGAGGUGAGCGGAACUUAGGGUGGAGCGGUGAAAUGCGUUGAUAUCCUAAGGAACACCCGUGGCGAAAGCGGCUCACUGGGUCUCUUCUGGCGCUGAGGCACGACAGCGUGGGGAGCAAACAGG
rnacentral:rRNA from 1 species